rnacentral:rRNA from 1 species
CAUGAAGUUGGAAUCACUAGUAAUCGCGGAUCAGCAUGCCGCGGUGAAUGCGUUCUCGGGCCUUGUACACACCGCCCGUCACACCAUGAGAGUCGGGAACACCCGAAGUCCGUAGCCUAACCGCAAGGGGGCGCGGCCGAAGGUGGGCUCGAUAAUUGGGUGAAGUCGUAACAAGGUAGC